rnacentral:rRNA from 1 species
ACGGAAGUCGUUGUAAUGAAAUAGAAACGGACAGAGAACUUGUUCGAAGAAAGUGGAAGUAGACUUACAACAAUGGCUUUAGUGGCGGACUGGUGAGUAACGCGUAAGGAACCUGCCUUCUAGAGGGGAAUAACAAUGAGAAAUCAUUGCUAAUACCGCAUAUGCCGAGAGAAUCACAUGGUACAAUCGGGAAAAGAGUAAUCUGCUAGAAGAUGGCCUUGCGUCUGAUUAGAUAGUUGGUGGGGUAACGGCCUACCAAGUCAACGAUCAGUAGCCGGACUGAGAGGUUGAACGGCCACAUUGGGACUGAGAUACGGCCCAGACUCCUACGGGAGGCAGCAGUCGGGAAUAUUGCGCAAUGGAGGAAACUCUGACGCAGUGACGCCGCGUAUAGGAAGAGGGUUUUCGGAUUGUAAACUAUUGUCGUUAGGGAAGAGAAAGGACAGUACCUAAGGAGGAAGCUCCGGCUAACUACGUGCCAGCAGCCGCGGUAAUACGUAGGGAGCGAGCGUUAUCCGGAAUUAUUGGGUGUAAAGGGUGCGUAGACGGGAAGAUAAGUUAGUUGUGAAAUCCCUCGGCUUAACUGAGGAACUGCAACUAAAACUGUUUUUCUUGAGUGCAGGAGAGGUAAGUGGAAUUCCUAGUGUAGCGGUGAAAUGCGUAGAUAUUAGGAGGAACACCAGUGGCGAAGGCGACUUACUGGACUG